GGACUGUCUUAUUCCCCUCUUUCAGUUCAAGUCGCGGACACACCUAUAGAGUCUGUGAAAAGUCAAGGCUCCAGUGACACAGAAAACACUACAGGUCCUGAUGGUAAGUUUCUGAGCUUUCUGAGCUCAGAUUAUACAUGUGGUAUGUUUUCUGUGUGAUCUGGGAGUAAGGGAGCUCUCUGUUCUAUGAAUCAACAUAUUCAAUGAGAACAAAGUAAAUUUCAAAAGCCAUAUAUUACUAGAAAAUAAUAAAAAAUAAUGGCAGCCCUUUUUUCUUUUUACCACUAACUGUUUUAAACAGCACAUGACUUGGUUUAAACAUACCUUGCAAUACUGAGGCCACCAGUGGGUAAAGCCACGGCUGGACCUGGUCCUUCAUGGAAACAUCACUCACUUCUGUAAAAGGUGCUUGCUUUGUAGUUACCCAUGCCUCACUUGGCAUCCAGAUGAGCCCUUGAGCUUAUCCAGAUGAGCUCUUGGACCAUCCCUGUUAAACUCAACUAUAUCACAACAGAUUCCUUUGCCAAAAACACAGUGACUCUUUAAGGGCACCUUAAAAAUUUACAAAAACCAUCCUUUAUUUGCAUGUAAUUUUGAAGGCAUCUGUGUUGAUCCGUAUUUUGUCACUGCGACAAACACCUGAGAUGAGCAACCUCGAGGAGGAGAGAUUUAUUUUGGUCAUGGUUUCAGAGGUUUUAGUCCUUGGCUGGCUGGUUCCAUUGCUUUGGGCCCGAGGUGAGGAAGAGCAUCCUGGCAGAAACGCAUCAUGAAGGAAUGCUGUUCAGCUCAUGGCAGCUGGAAAACAAAGUGAAAGGAAGAGAUCUGUACAAAAUAUAGUCCCUAAGGGGCAUGCCCCAAAUAGCCUACUUCCUCCAACAGUGCCCCAUCACCCUAUAGUUUCCGCCACCUCCCAGUAGUCCAUUCAGCUAUGGAUGGAUUACUCCACUGAUGAGAAUAACCUUCAUGAUUCAAUCGCUUUCCAAAAAGUUCACCUCUAAACUUUGCUAUGUUGGGGACCAAUGCAUGUGUCACUGGGGGGACACUACAUAUCCAAACCACAAUCACAUCUAAAGAUUCUGAGCCCAGAUACACCCCUACAGCCCACCAUUCCACUCUCAACUCCUCUGAGAUAACUUUUUUAGAUUCCACAUGAGUGAGAUCAUGUGGAACUUGUCUUUCUGUUCCUGGCUUAUUUCACUUUAAUGUAAUGGUCUCCAUUUUAUACACAGUGUCACAAAUGACAGGGUUUCAUUCUUUUUUAUGGCUGAGUAGUAUCCUGUUGUGUACACAUAUUGCAUUUUCAUCAGAUGAUGGACACUUCUAUUUCUUAGCUAUUGUAAAUAGUGUUGUAAUGAACAUGAAAGUACAGAGGUCUCUUUUUUAAAAAUUUUUUUGGUCAUUAUAGAUGGACAGAAUGCCUUUGUUUAUUUUUAUGUGGUGCUGAGGAUUGAAUCCAGUGCCUCAUAUCAGCUAGGCAAACACUCUGUCACUAAGCUAUAGCCCCAGCCCAAAGAUGUCUCUUUAACAUACAAAUUUCAUUUCCUUUGAAUAUAUACCCAGUAGUGGGAUUGCUGGAUUAUCUGGAAGUUCUAUCUUAAAAUGUUUUAGGAACUUCCAUACUGGUUUUCAUAAUGGCUAUACUAAUUUAUAUUCCUACCAACAUUGUGCAGGGGUUUCCUCUUCUCCACAUCCUAUCCAGAAUUUGUUAUCCUUUAGAUAACAUCUAUUCUUACUAGGGUGAGGUGAUAUCUCAUUGUGGUUUUUAUUUGCAUUUUCCUGAUUAUUAACGAUAUUGAACAUUUUUCAUAUAUCUGUUGGCCAUGUGUGUCUUCUUUUGAGAAAUGUCCAUUUAUACCUAGUUCCCAUUUCUCAUCAGUUUUGUUUUGCUGUUGAGUUUCUGGAGUUCCUUCUAUAUUGUAGAUAUCAAUCCUUUGUCAGAUCUAUACUUUGUAAAUAUUUUUGCCUAUCUGCAGGCUGUCUCUACACUGUUACAUUUUCAAAUGAUUUGUGUAGCUAGUAAUAGGUAUGAUUUUCUUCUUCUGCAUGUGGAUAUCCAGUUUCCCCAGCACCAUUUAUUAAAAAGACGAUCCUUUUGUGCAAUGCAUUUCUUAGCACAUUUAUCAAAAAUCAGUUGUCUGUGGGUAUGUGGAUACCUUACUUCUGGGCUCUCUAGUCUAUUUCAUUGUUCUGCAAGUCUGUUUUUAUGCCCAAACCACGCUAUUUUGAUUUACAACUGUGUUGUGGUGUGUUUUUAAAUAGGGUAGUAUAGUACCUUCUACUUCGUUCCUUUUGCUCAGGAUAGAUUUAGUUAUUUGGGGACUUUAGUGUCUCCAUAUAAUUGUUUAUCAUUCUGUGAAGAACAUCGUUGAUAUUUUGACAAGUGAUUAAAUUGAAUCUUAAAACCACUUGGGGUAGUAUGGACAUUUUAACAAUAUUGUUUCUUCUAACCCAUGAAUACAGAAUGUCUUUCUGCUUUUUGGUAUCCUCUUCAAUUACUUUCAUCAAUAUUUUUAGAUUUUUUUUCAUUGUAUAUAUCUUUCACCUAUUUGGUUAAAUUUGUUCCUAGGUAUUUUAUUUCUAUAGCUAUUAUAAAUGGGAUUGCUUUCUAUCUCAGAUUAUUUGCUGCUGGUGAACAGCAAUACUACUAAUUUUUAUAUGUUGAUUUUUAUAUCCUGAAACGUUGCUUAGUUACUUCUAGCAGCUUUGGGGUAUGUGUUUGGAGUUUUAUGUUUUAUUUAAUCAUGUCAUCUGCAAACAGUGACAAUUUCAUGGCUUUUCUAAUUUGGAUACCCUUCAUUUCUUCCUCUUGCUUGACUGCUCUGGCUUCCAGAAUUAUGUUGAAUGAAAGUGAUGGAAGUGAAUAUUCUCGUCUUGUUCCAGAUUUUACAUAGAAAGCUUUCAGCAUUUCCCCAUUCAAGAUAAUGUUAGCCAUUGGCUUAAUAUAAAUGGUCAUUAUUUUGUUGAGGUAUAUUCCUUGCCUAUAUAAUUUGUUCAGCAUUUUUAGAACAAAAGAAUUUUGAAUUUUAUCCAAUGUCUUUCCUGCAUCUAUUGAAAUUAUACUUUUUGUACUUCUUUUGACAUGGUGUAUUACAUUUUUUGAUAUGCACGUAUUGGACCUCUUUCCCUCUCAAUCCCACUUGAUGGGGGUGAAAAAUCUCUUUAAUGUGCUACUGCUUUCAGUUUGCUAGAUUUUGUUGAGGAUUUAACAUCUAUGUUUUUCAAGGAUAUUAACCUGUGGGUUUUUUCUUCUUCUUCUUAUAUUAUUGUUGUUGUAUCUUCAUCUGUUUUGGCAUUAGGGUAAUGCUGGUCUCGUAGAAUGUGUUUAAAAGAAUUACUUCCUAACUUAAAGAGAAAUGGUAUUAGUUCUUCUUUAAAUGUUUUGUAGAAUUGAGUAGUGAAGCCAUCUGGUCCUGGCUUUUCUGGAUAGGAGCCCUGUUUUUUUUUUUGUUUGUUUUCUUUUGUUUUUUUAAUUAGUGAUUCAAUCUUUACUUAUUAUUGGUUCUGUCACAUUUUUCCAUGAUCAAAUUUGGCAUAUAUUUCAUCAUUUCUAAUGCUCUUUUUUAUUUUUCUGGUAUUACGUAUAAUGUCUACCUAUAAAGUCUUGAGUUUAUGAGUCUUUUUCUUUUCUUAGUCUAGCUGAUAAUUUGUCUAUUUUGUUGCUCUUCAAAGAAUCAGCUCUUGAUUUUGGUCUCCAUUUAUUUCUACUCUGAUCAUUAUUUCUUUCUACUAAUAUUGAGUUUGUUUCACUUAUCUUGAGGGAUGAGAAAAUAAGAACAAAUGGCUAUUUGAGAAAUUUCUACUUUUUUUGACACCAUUGACUGAUCUAAUGUUUCCUCUUAGUACUGCUUUUGCUGAGUCCCACAGGUUUGGGUAUUUUGUGUCUCCAUUUUCAUUUAAGAAAUUUAAAAAUUUCCUUCCUGAUUUCCUUGAUCCACUGGUUGAAAGUUAUUUGAUUUCCAUGUGUUAUUUUUUUUAAUUUCAGUCACUCAAUAUGAUGAGAACUUGUUUUGUGGCCUAUCAUAUCUGUCUUGGAGAAUGUUCCAUGUGCUGUUGAGAAAAAAACGUAUAUUUGGCAGCCCUUGGACAGAACGUUCUGUAGAUAUCUGUUAGGGCCGUUUGUCCUAGGGUGUGAUUUAACUGUUGAUUUUCAGUCUAGAUGAUCUGUCCAUCACUGGAAGGGGUGUUAAGAGCAUCCACAUAUUAUUACGUAAUACAAUGACGUAUAUAAGGAAAAUGUAAUAUUGAAUUUUGAACAAAUUUUCUACUCUUUUGGCAUUCUCAAGUCUUUCUUGAACCCCCAGUAUUUGCUCUUUCAAUAACCCUUUUUUUCUCCUCCCACUGUAUUUUCAAAUAGCCUGUCUUCAAACUUUCUUCUAUCCUAUUUUUAAUUUUUAUAGUUCAUGAAUUUUUUAAAAAGUGCUUACAUCUCUUUAAACUGUUGGAGUAGUGAGAUGUUCUCUUCAAGUCCAUCGAGUUUCCUUAAAACAGCUGUUUUUAACUUCUAAGAGAUCUCCCAUACUGCUUACUACCUGGUUUGUUUCUGACACCUUAUUUUGAGUAUUAAGUGAGGUCACAGUUUCCUGAAAAGUUCUUGAUUCUUGUUGGCAUGAGACAUCAUCUAGGCAUUAAAGGAUUGGGUAUUUAUUAUGUUCUUCCUAAUCUCAGUUUGUGCUCAUAUCUUCUCAAGUUCUGAUCAGGAUGGUUUGUUUCUAUCAGAUAUUUUUCUGAGCCUGUAGUUGCCAUCUCACCCAGUUUCAGAUUUGAUGGGAGUUUUCUAUUCAUGUGUUGUCACUGUUUCAGGACUAGAGAGUAAUCCAAGCCCAGGUUUGCCCCAAAUACACUGUUGGUAUACUUUAAAGAAACAAACUAGAAUAUCUAGAAAGAGUGAUGUAUCCUCACAAGGCUUUACCAGCCAAAGUAAUCUCAGAUGCCUUCUUCAUAGUUGCCAACCUGUGGCGGGGCACUACAUGAUUCAGCCCAACUCUGGGAAGUAUCACCAUGGAUGGACCAGCCCCCAGCCCCUCUAUCACACCUGUGGCCACCAAGCUGUGUCAUACCCUGAGGCUAUAGUCUGCCAAGACCAGCAUAACACUGGGGGAGGUUCAAGGCCCACACUAUGUGCUGCCUAUCACAUAGUGACCCAAGAUUGUGUAAAUAGAAGUCUGAUAGACUGGAGCUAUAUGUCUUCCCUUGGCACUAGAGCUAUUUCAGAGGCUGGGUAUACUGGCACACUUGUAGAUUUCACUACCACAGUCCAGCACUAAGUCCCAGGGCAACAUCUAUCCUUACUAACUGGUACCACCCCAGAAAAUGCCAUUUUGCAUCUCCCUUUGCUGUGCAAGGCUGCAUAGCAAUGGUGAAUUCAGUGCUUUGGCUACCUGGCUGAUGCUAAGCUGAGCUGUGCUUGAUUCUGUUUCAAGGACAUGCAGAGUCUCAGGUACAUUAGGGUAGGGUCCACAUCACACCUGGCAGUAAUGCAGUUCAAAAUGAGCCCAUCCUUUUGAAGUGUAGGUCUCUACCUGGUGCCAUGGAAGUAUGAGAGCUCUGUAAGCACUGGCUUGGUCAUAGCUGUAUUGCCCAAGAUUGGGGGAUGGAUGGUAGGGACAGUCUCUUGGUUACCAAUACAGGUGCUAAAUCUGGGUUGCACCUGAGUCUCCCACCUUCAAGGACCUGGGGAGUCUAAUAGGGAGUCCUUUACCUAUCCCAGCAUUGUGCUGGCCUUGACAGGUUAUAUGCUCAGGGUGUGACAAAAUGCUUAGGUUUGGGGAAGGGUACCACAGGCAACUCUUCUUGCCUUUUUCAUUGUAUUUAAGUAAAAGCAGCCACUGUGGUCUCAUCUCUCAUCUGAUUUCCUUAGUUCCUGUGAAGGCAAUUUAGUGUUUGAAUGAAUAUCCAUCCUGAAGGAUUUUACUCAGUUACCAUCUUGCUUUGAGGUGUUUUGUUUUAUUUUUAAGCUAAAGAAAAGCAAAUUACUUUGUCAUUCAGCCACCACUGGCUGAAUUUUUCCCAAAGUAGUUUUAAAUAAAAUUUCUUAUUGCAGGUGUCUCCCACAUAGUCCUACCUUAAUUAUAACCUCUUCUAUGCAAACUGAUAUCUUUUACUUAUUUGAGCAUGAAAUGCUUUUUUAUAGUGUUGUGGUUUAAAGUAUCCCCCAAAACAUUCCCAUGUUAGGAAUAUGAUAUCCAAUGUAGCCAUGUUCCAAAGUGAAAAGAUUAUAACCUCAUUAUAAUUAAAUGGAUUAAUAACUUGGAUGGUCUGAGUGGGUGGUCAUUAUAGGCAGUAGAGUGUGGCUGGAGGAAGUAGGUCACUGGGGGUGUACCGUGGAGACUAUAUUUUGAUCCUGGCUCCUUGUGCAUGCUCUGCUUCCUGCCUCCCUUGAGUGGAGCAGCUGUCCUCUGUCAUGCCUUACCUUGGGCCCAGAGCAAUGGAGUUGGCCAACCAUGCAUGAGCCUAAAAUAAACAUUUCCUCCUCAAACUCAUUCUUGUUAGCUUUUCAUUGUUGUCACCAAAAUACCUACAUGCAUAGUAACAUUAAAAGUGUCUACUGGGAGAGAGAACAGCAAACAAAUGCUCCCUUUUAUUUUUAUCCUGUACUUUGCCACACUGUGGUGGGUAGACUUCCAGUGACCUUGUCUACCAGGCUGAACAGUGCAGGAAUGAUUUUCUUUACACCGACAAAGUUGCCACACCUGAUCAGUUUACACAUGGAAAUAAGCUUACACAUUGUUAGAAACCCAGGACAGUUUGCAGAUGAUAACUUGGGAGAGUUGAAUGAGAGACCCUAGAUGUUCUUUCAAGCACCUUUGGAGUGUGAAGCCGGUAUCUGACAUUAUUUUAUUCAAGCUUUCAUGUCUGAGAAAAAGAUUUAUAUUGUUGAUUUUGUACAAAUAAAUCACCACCUAAAUGAGAAACAAAUGGAAUUUACUUAUUCAGAGAUUAUUAUAGUGAGGGUGUCAGUCAUUAUCACUUGUGUUUGGAGGUAGUUGGUAUGGGGAAUCUGGAAACUGUUACCUAAAGUGGGGCAUCUUAGGUUUUUAAUUCAGAGGUCUUUCCCUGGUUGGUUCCAAGUUGAAAGCAGGUACAGAAAAUAUGGAAGCUGAUGAUCACUGACCAAGUCCAGUGCAUUCUGAGCCAAUUACCAGAGAUUGUGGUUUGGUUGCCCUGAUGGGUUGCUAUUGAGGUUUUAAGUAGAGUUCUACUGCUAGAUUAUCUGGCCACUGUCCAGUCUCAGCUUACAGAAUGUGCUUGGAUGCUGUAACAAUAUCAAUCUCAUUAAACCUGCUGACCCUUGGAAAGUUUGAGUGACUGCUUUUAGCUACAGGAGAAAGGCAAUAAUUACACACUCUAUUUUUAUGCAAAUGCUUACAUAGAAUACACAGUCAAAUGAAAGCAUACUUUUCCAGAGCUGUGUGAUCUGGUUAGAUUUUUUUUUUCCAUAGUGUUUGCUGCUGCAUCCAUUGGCAAGCUUGCAGGGUCUGUUUUGAAUUCUGAAAUUGAAAAUGUGGCAAACCAAACAGGUCUAUUGACAGUGCCAUUUUGAAGGGAACUGCUUAAUUUUCUGCAUCUUAGUGAUCUGUUUUGCUUUGUUUUCUCUUUAUUUUCUUAGAUAUCUAUUAAGGCCUUUGAAUUUAUUUCUAUAAGGAUGGUAAUAUAUACCCAAAUUUUCAAACCAAAAUCUAGUAUGAAAUGAUAGCUCAGCUUCUACAGUUUAGUGAAGAACUAUAGUGAAUGCCCUUCCCUGCCCAUGAGAAUAUACAAGGAUGGAUUCAAACACUCGAAUAAAUAGAAACAAACUGAAAAAAUGUAUAAGACCAAAAAAAAAAAAUCAGUAAUGUUAUACUAGCUUUCUGUUGCCAUGACAAAAUACUUGAGAGAAUAAACUCACAGGUUUAUUUUGGCAAAUGGUUUCAGUCUGAGGUUUGCUGGUUCCAUUGCUUUGUGCCUGAGAUAAGGUAAAAUGGUAACCAGGAAGCUGAGCAAGUGUCCGGGGAAAAAACAUGCCCCCAAUGACUUGCUUCUUCUAACUAGGCCCUACCACUAGAUCCAAACCAUAACUGUUUAAGAGAUUUGAGCUUAAUAAAUAUUUGACUUUUUUGUUUUCCUUUCUGGUUACAGUUGAAAUGAACAGUCAGGUUGACAAUGUAAAUGACCCAACAGAGAGUCAGCAAGAAGAUUACCAAUAGGUAAGAUGCCCCUGUGGUGGGAUUUUUCAAU
rnacentral:lncRNA from 1 species